ACCCUUUUAGAAAUGGCUUUAGCCCUUUUACAUUGUACGUUUCCUUCAUUCUGAAAGAAUUUCAGCAAGAUAAAAAGGCUGCCUCAAACCCUUUGUGGAAGAAAGGCAAUCGAAUGAAUGAAUGAGUUACGCGUGACUUAAUGAAGAAAUCAGAGCUCAGAAAGAUCCAGUUCAUUUGUCCAUUCAGCAGCUGUUGCCUACCUGCACACUUCCGUGAGCUUUCCCAGGCAUGUUCGGUAUACUAGUCCCAAGACACAGGGCUUGUCUUCAAGAUAAUCUGAAGAAUUGAGACCUGGGGAUAGCACCCAAGAAGAGGGAAGAUAUGGGUUGACAACUGAGACAUUUCCUGGAUUGUUCAUAUCAUGUCACAGCUGGACUGAGCCUUAGAAGUUGUGAAAAGGAUUUGAUAUCAUGGAAGUCUGGUUAAAGAUGAGACCGGGCAGUUAACUAUGGCUGCAUAGAUGGUGCCUGUCCAGAAGUCUACAGAGGGAUAGCCAUUCUCCUCAGGAACAUGGGCAAAGACCUUUUGUCUGAUUCUGUUAUUCCAGACACACUGUCGAGAGGACUGGUCACAGGACUCAUGGAAAGGAGGUAAGUCAAGUGUUAAUCUGGGAAAGGACAUGAAAGCAGUGUGAGAAGAGAGAGUUCGGGCCAGAUGUCAGGAUGGCAAUGCCACACUUCCGGGCUCAUGAGCCAGCUCUACAAAGAAGAGGAAAAUUAAUGAAUGGGCUUUGUUGAUGUUCACCCAGGAUUCUUUAGUGACUUUGUACAGCUGAUGCAAUGCGUGCUACUUACCUUGCACACAUGUGACUGAGAGCUAAAGCUGAGAGCUCUGGACUUUCUCGGCUCAAAUCCCAGCUCUGCCACUUUCCGGUUUUGCCACCUUGCCAUUUUAUUCAGUCUCUUUAUGAAUCAGUUUUCCUAUCCAUAUAGUAAGGACAAUAAUGCCUAUUUUUCAUAGCUAUGUGGUGAAAAUUAAAUGGUAAGUUGUGUACUAUAACCAGCAGAUAAGAGAGUCACCCUAAUAUAUCAAUUAUUCGUAUGCAUGGUGGGUGAUCGUUUCAUCUGAUUCAGGCAUUGUGUACACACCCACGUGUGUGUGCUUAAUCUCAUAUUCAUAGAAAGCCACUGGAGUGAUAACACCCUGGUGAUGUGAACCGAUUCCAGUCUCGACAGCUGAGAAAUCCCACCGCUGCUCUUAGCUGUGCAUGACAUCCCUCCUGUGAAGUCUUCCCUUGAGCACAGCAAACACCUGUUCUUGGUGAAAUGCAAAAGGGAACCUUGGUUUAAAGCUCUUGCUUCCCUUUCUUGUAAAGCUUUGUGACCCCUGCUGAAAUAGUUCCCAGCAAGGCCACUUUCAGUUUCUCAGGUUCAGAAGAGAACCAGUGAUCUGAGGUCCCUUAGGGCAAUGGCUCCGUCUUGACUGGUGCCACCAUAUUUGAAACCCUGGGAGCUCAGAGAGAAGCAGAAUCACUUUGAGUUUGUCAUCAAGUUCCAUUCUUCCCACCCAAUGUUGUCAGCAUUUGCUGUGGCUUCUCUCCAGUACCCUGAUGGGUUAAUAUUCUGGAAGCAACAUUUUGGAAGGCCAAGGACAGGUCGGUUCUGAGGAUCGUGCAAAAGAGAAUUGGUCAUUGUACUAAGUUGUUUGAUUCUGGUGGUUCUUUCAUCUCAGUUUUUUGAAAUCAACUUCCCCUCCUUAACCAAGUUCUGCCCCAGCCACUUAGUGGGUCAAAAAACUGUGGAUGCUGAUGGAAAUCACAGAUGUGACCAAACAUCCCCAGCAGCAGUCCGGUCAGAGGUCAUUUGGCUCCUUUCCAGUAACAGGUGGCAUGCAGUCAUCAGAGAGGCUUCUACUUUUCGAGACAAUUUGAAUCAAGAGACAUUCACAGUAAAACUUGGUCACUUUGCAUUUCAUUUUCUGUAAAAACCAACUACAACCUAUUUGACAGCUGUUCUUUUGAAAUAAGCUUGUAGCGGUGGGUGUCAUAGUCAUCAGAAACAAAGCUUCUACUCUUUCAAUAGUGUGCGUUGCUAUUCUAACUGUAAAUGUAACUGAAAUUACAUUGCAGUCUUUCACAUGAUAGAUAUACCCACCCCCCCACUGCCUUUCACACACGUGGAACUAUGUAGGUAGUCAGAGAGGGAAGUAUAAAGAAUA